rnacentral:rRNA from 1 species
CCCUUAGAUGUUCUGGGCUGCACGCGCGCUACACUGAAGCGUUCAACGAGUAUUCACCUUGCCCGGGAGGGUUGGGUAAUCUUUUGAAAACGCUUCGUGAUGGGGAUAGAUUAUUGCAAUUAUUAAUCUUCAACGAGGAAUUCCUAGUAAGCGCGAGUCAUCAGCUCGUGCUGAUUACGUCCCUGCCCUUUGUACACACCGCCCGUCGCACCUACCGAUUGAAUGGUCCGGUGAAAUCUCGGGACGGCGGCUUGGUCGCUUGCGUCCGACUGCUGAAACUUGAUUAAACCAUAUCAUUUAAAGGAAGGUGAAGUCGUAACA